ACAACUGAAUAUCCGAUGUUCGGAAUGAUACCCGUCAUGUUGGGUUGAAACGAACAGUCUAAUCUCCUGCAUGCAAAGAUAUGUAACAGAAUAUCUUUGUAUGAAGCCGGGUAAAGUCGGCAGAACAAAACCUAAGUCAUAAAAAAUAUAUGAUAUGGUUCUUUGGAUAUGCCGGGACGCUAUAA
rnacentral:ncRNA from 1 species